GGGGGCAUAGCUCAGAGGUAGAGCGCCCGCUUCGCAUGCGGGAAGUCCGGGGUUCAAUCCCCCGUGCCUCCA
rnacentral:tRNA from 1 species